CUAACAAGGAUUCCCCUAGUAACGGCGAGUGAAGCGGGAUGAGCUCAAAUUUGUAAUCUGGCGGCCUGUGGUCGUCCGAGUUGUAGUCUGGAGAAGYGUCUUCCGCGUCGGACCGUGUACAAGUCCCUUGGAACGGGGCGUCGUAGAGGGUGAGAAUCCCGUCUUUGACACGGACUGCCGAUGCUAUGCGAUGCGCUCUCGAAGAGUCGAGUUGUUUGGGAAUGCAGCUCAAAACGGGUGGUAAAUUCCAUCUAAAGCUAAAUAUGGGCAAAAGACCGAUAGCGAACAAGUACCGUGAGGGAAAGAUGAAAAGCACUUUGAAAAGAGAGUCAAAUAGUACGUGAAAUUGUUGAAAGGGAAACGCUUGAAGUCAGUCGCGUCUCCCGGGACUCAGCCUUGCUUUGUUGCUCGGCGUACUUCCCGGGGCGACGGGCCAGCAUCGGUUUCGAUCGUCGGAGAAAGGCCGGUUGGGAAUGUGGCACCCUCGGGUGUGUUAUAGCCCUGGGUCGUAUGCKACGGUUGGGACCGAGGACCGCAKCACGCCUUCAUUGGCCGGGGGGACGCCCCACGUAACGUGCUUAGGAUGCUGGCGUAAUGGCUUUAAGCGACCCGUCUUGAAACACGGA
rnacentral:rRNA from 1 species